UGAGAGGCAAUGGGCAGAGACUGAGGCAUAGGAAGUUUCACUUGAACGUCAGCACUGUCUUUAAUUGAACUGCUUCCCUAAGCCUGCCUCAUGUUCUGUUCAAAAGGAAUGCAAGUCAUGACAAUCAAAGGAUCCCCCCAGUGACUGCAAAAAGACAACAGUAAGACCAUUUUUGAGAACAGCGAGAAGAGCAACGGGAUUAUCAGCCUAAACAGGUCACCUGAAUAAGCUAUGGAUAAAAUCCACCUGAAAGCAUGCA